UCAUUGCUGAAGAGUUCCACAAUAGAACGAAAUGGCCAUCCAGUAC
rfam:Schistosoma rodhaini strain Burundi genome assembly, scaffold: SROB_scaffold0001999